GACGAACGCUGGCGGCGUGCUUAACACAUGCAAGUCGAACGGUGAAGCGCUUUCCUUUUUGGUUGGUGUGGAUGAGUGGCGAACGGGUGAGUAACACGUGAGUAACCUGCCCCCUUCUUCUGGAUAACCGCAUGAAAGUGUGGCUAAUACGGGAUAUUCUGCGCCUGCUGCAUGGUGGGUGUGGGAAAGAUUGUGCCUUUGGGUGUUUUCGGUGGGGGAUGGGCUCGCGGCCUAUCAGCUAGUUGGUGGGGUGAUGGCCUACCAAGGCGGUGACGGGUAGCCGGCCUGAGAGGGUGGACGGUCACACUGGGACUGAGACACGGCCCAGACUCCUACGGGAGGCAGCAGUGGGGAAUAUUGCACAAUGGGCGCAAGCCUGAUGCAGCGACGCCGCGUGAGGGAUGGAGGCCUUCGGGUUGUGAACCUCUUUCGCCAGUGAAGCAGGCCUGCUCCUUGUGGGUGGGUUGACGGUAGCUGGAUAAGAAGCGCCGGCUAACUACGUG
rnacentral:rRNA from 1 species